rnacentral:sRNA from 1 species
AACUAAACCCGACAGUAGCGAGCAUCCCGACGUAAAGUCGGGAUAAAGCGAAUGGCGGGAUUACCG